rnacentral:rRNA from 1 species
CAAUAGCGUAUAUUAAAGUUGUUGCAGUUCAAAAGCUCGUAGUUGGAUUUGUGGCGUACGGUGUGUUCCGGGCACUUGUUGUCUGAGUAACCUGCUGUUGCCAUCCUUGGGUGGAACCUGUGUGGCAUUAGGUUGUCGUGCAGGGGAUGCCCAUCAUUUACUGUGAAAAAAUUAGAGUGUUCAAAGCAGGCUUAUGCCGUUGAAUAUAUUAGCAUGGAAUAAUGAGAUAGGACUUUUUUGCUAUUUUGUUGGUUUGCGCAAAGAGGUAAUGAUUAAUAGGGACAGUUGGGGGUAUUCGUAUUCCAUUGUCAGAGGUGAAAUUCUUGGAUUUUUGGAAGACGAACUACUGCGAAAGCAUUUACCAAGGAUGUUUUCAUUAA